rnacentral:rRNA from 1 species
UACGUAGGGGCCUAGCGUUAGGCGGAAUCACUGGGCUUAAAGCGUGUGUAGGCGGAUCGGUAAGUACCUUGUGAAAUCCCACAGCUUAACUGUGGAACUGCUUGGUAUACUGCCAGUCUUGAGCCACUUAGGGGCUACCGGAACAAAUGGUGGAGCGGUGAAAUGCGUAGAUAUCAUUUGGAACGCCAAUGGUGAAAACAGGUAGCUGGGAGUGUGCUGACGCUGAGACACGAAAGCCAGGGGAGCAAACGGG